GCGUCUAUAGUGAGGGAAAGCCUAUGGCUCAACCUAGAACUGCUUCCAAAACUGUUAGACUAGAAUCUGGGAGGGGAAGAUGGAAUUAGUAGUGUAGGGGUAAAAUCCGUAGAGAUUACUAGGAAUACCAAAAGCGAAGGCGAUCUUCUGGAACAGUACUGACGNUGAGAUGCGAAAGCGUGGGGAGCAAACAGGAUUAGAUACCCUGGUAGUCCACGCAGUAAACGAUGAAUGUUAGUCGUUGGUAUCCUAGAGAUAUCAGUGAUGCAGUUAACACAUUAAACAUUCCGCCUGGGGAGUACGGUCGCAAGAUUAAAACUCAAAGGAAUAGACGGGGACCCGCACAAGUGGUGGAGCAUGUGGUUUAAUUCGAAGAUACGCGAAGAACCUUACCUAGCCUUGACAUAUUUUAGAAUUCACCAGAGAUGGAGAAGUGCCUUCGGGAGCUAAUAUACAGGUGCUGCACGGCUGUCGUCAGCUCGUGUCGUGAGAUGUUGGGUUAAGUCCCGCAACGAGCGCAACCCUCGUCACUAGUUACUAACGGUUCGGCCGAGGACUCUAGUGAGACUGCCUUCGUAAGGAGGAGGAAGGUGAGGACGACGUCAAGUCAUCAUGGCCCUUACGGCUAGGGCAACGCACGUGCUACAAUGGUUAGGACAAUGAGAAGCAAUAUCGCGAGGUGGAGCAAAUCUAUAAACCUAAUCUCAGUUCGGAUUGUAGUCUGCAACUCGACUACAUGAAGCUGGAAUCACUAGUAAUCGUAGAUCAGCUAUGCUACGGUGAAUACGUU
rnacentral:rRNA from 1 species